UAUCCCUACGGGGGGCAGCAGUAGAGAAUCUUCCACAAUGGACGAAAGUCUGAUGGAGCAACGCCGCGUGAGUGAAGAAGGGUUUCGGCUCGUAAAGCUCUGUUGGUAGUGAAGAAAGAUAGAGGUAGUAACUGGCCUUUAUUUGACGGUAAUUACUUAGAAAGUCACGGCUAACUACGUGCCAGCAGCCGCGGUAAUACGUAGGUGGCAAGCGUUUUCCGGAUUUUUUGGGCGUAAAGCGAGUGCAGGCGGGUCAAUAAAACU
rnacentral:rRNA from 1 species